ACAGUACGAGUAGACCAACUCUAAAGUGUCCAGAAUUCACAGACACUUAAACAAUUUUUGAUAGGUCUACCUGUUUAUGAAGCCUGUUCUACUUAUUUACGUGUACGGGUCUCCUUUUUUUUUAAACUAAAAUGGUCUACCUGUUUACGAACACAAACGUACCUGUUUUGUGAAUGUGGUGUACCAGCGUUUCGAACCACAGACUCACAGUACGAGUAGACUAACUCUAAAGUGUCCAGAAUUUACAGACACUUAAACAAUUUUUGAUAGGUCUACCUGUUUAUAAACAAUGUUCUGCUUAUUUACGAGUACGGGUCUCUUUUUUUAUGUGAGACAAAAUGGUCUACUUGUUUACGAACACUAACCUAUCUAUUUUGUGAACGUGGUGUAUCAGCGCUUCGAACCAUUAACUCACACUACGUGUAGACCAACUCUAAAGUGUCCAGAAUUCACACACUUGCAGAAUUAUUGAUAGGUCCACCUGUUUAAGAAGUCUGGUCUAUUUAUUUAUGAGUACGGGUCUACUUUUUUUGUGAGACAAAAUGGUCUACCUGUUUACGAACAGUAACCUACCUGUUCUGUGAACGUGGCGUAACAGUUCUUCGAACCACUGACUCAAACUACAACUAGACCAAGAAUAAAGUGUUCAGAAUUCACAGACACUUGAAUAAUUCUUGAGAGGUCUACCUGUUUACGAAGCCUGGUCUGCUUAUUUACUAGUACGGGUCUACUUUUUUUGUGAGACAAAAUGGUUUACCUGUUUACGAACACUAACAUAUCUGUUUUGUGAACGUGGUGUACCAGCGCUACAAACCACUGACUAACACUACGAGUAGACCAACUCUAAAGUGUCCAGAAUUCAUAGACACUUGAAGAAUUCUUGAUAGGUCUACCUGUUUACCAUGCCUGGUCUACUUAUUUACGAGUACGAGUCUCAUUUUUUAUGUGAGAAAAAUGGUCUACCUGUUUACGAACACUAACCUACCUGCUUUGUGAACGUGGUGUACCACUUCUUCGUACCUACGAGUAGACCAAGAAUAUAGUGUCCAAGAUUCACAGACACUUGAAGAAUUCUUGAGAGGUCUACCCGUUUUUGAAGCUUGGUCUGCUUCUUUACGAGUACGGGUCUCCUUUUUUUUGUGAGACAAAAUGGUCUACCUUUUUACAAACACUAACCUACCUGUUUUGUUGACGUGGUGUAGCAGCGCUUCGAACCACUGACUCACACUACGAGUAGACCAACUCUAAAGUGUCCAGAAUUCACAGACACUUAAACAAUUUUUGAUAGGUCUACCUGUUUAGGAAGCCUGUUCUACUUAUUUACGUGUACGGGUCUCCGUUAUUUUUUUGAGACAAAAUGGUCUACUUGUUUACGAACACUAACCUACCUGUUUGGUGAACGUGGUAUACCAGUUCUUCGUACCUCUGACUCACACUACGAGUAGACCAAAAAUAAAGUGUCCAGAAUUCAUAGACACUUGAAGAAUUCUUGAGAGGUCUACCUGUUUACGAAGUCUGGUCUGCUUAUUUACGAGUACGGGUUACCUUUUGUUAGUGAGACAAAAUUGUCUACUUGUUUACAAACACUAACCUACCUGUUUUGUGAACGUGGUGUAUCAGCGACACUAACCUAGUAGACCAAGAAUAAAGUGUCCAAAAUUCAACGACAUUUAAAGAAUUCUUGAUAGGUCUACCUGUUUACGAAGCCUAGUCUGGUUAUUUAUGAGUAAGUGUCUAUUUUUUUGUGAGACAACAUAGUCUACCUGUUUAUGAACACAAACCUAUUUGUUUUGUGAACAUGGUGUACCAGCGCUUCGAACCACUGACUCACAGUACGAGUAGACCAACUCUAAAGUGUCCAGAAUUCAAAGACACUUAAAGAAUUCUUGAUAGGUCUACCUGUUUACCAUGCCUGGUCUGCUUAUUUACGAGUACGGGUCAACUUUUUUUGUGAGCCAAAAUGGUCUACCUGUUUAUGAACACUAACCUACAUGUUUUGUGAACGUGGUGUAUCAACGCUUCGAACCACUGAUUCACACUAUGAAUAGACCAAGAAUAAAGUGUCCAGAAUUCAACGAUAUUUAAAGAAUUCUUGAUAGUUCUACCUGUUUACGAAGUCUAGUCUGGUUAUUUACGAGUACGGGUCUACUUUUUUUAUGAGACAAAAUGGUCUACCUGUUUAUGAACGUGAUGUACCAGCGCUUCGAACCACUGACUCACAGUAUGAGUAGACAAACUCUAAAGUGUCCAGAAUUCGAAGACACUUGAAGAAUUCUUGAUAGGUCUACCUGUUUACCAAUCCUGGUCUACCUAUUUACGAGUACGGGUCUACUUUUUUUGUGAGACAAAAUGGUCUACUUUGUUUACGAACACUAACCUACCUGUUUUGUGAACGUGGUGUACUAGCGCUUCGAAUCACUGACUCACACUACGAGUAGACCAACUCUAAAGUGUUCAGAAUUCACAGACACUUGAAGAAUUCUUUAGAGGUUUACCUGUUUACGAAGCCUGGUCUGCUUAUUUACGAGUACGGGUCUACUUUUUUUGUGAGACAAAAUGGUCUACCUGUUUAUGUACAUUAACCUACCAGUUUGGUAAACGUGGUGUACAAGGUUUACGAAUAUUAACCUACCUAUUUUGUUUGUUUACAUGGUGUACAUUAUCCUCCAUCAUACAUUCUGGAAAUCAAAACCAAGGCAAGGUAGAGGUCCUAACAGUUCCUAGUUGUUAAACGAAAAACAUAAUACACAUAAUAUCAUAUGGUGCUAUUUUUACAAACACAUGUGUCACACCCCAAUUUUGGUAAUUUUUUUUUUUGA
rnacentral:lncRNA from 1 species